AAUCUAACUACACGUUGUAGAACUUCUUCCUUUCAAGGUGGCUUUGCAACUUAUUAGGUAACAAAUUGAAUUCCACCGAGCCAGGCCUUGCUUACCGGUGCAGUGAGGCUCUUGUUGAGGAGCACGGUGGCUUUCCAGAAGAACAAAGGGAUAUGAAGCAGCUGAUACCAGUUGUAAUUUAAAGCCUUGGGUUUAGAAGAAAAACUUUACAUUUGAGCCUAAGAAAUUCAAAUUCAUCUGUUCUCCAGAAACGAAAUGUGAGAACUAUGAGAAUUCCUGAUCCUCCCAACAAAAGCACCUCACGAUUACACUAAAUUGCUCUCAACAACUGUGAGCCGCUCCUUGGUCUUAUGCUUCCCUCAGAUUAAAAUACUUUAGGGCUGAAGGGUUCAUUUUUUGUUUCUUGGAGACACAGGAUUUCUGUUCAUUUCCAGAAGCAGGAGGGACAGCACAGCACUACCCAGGGCUGCAGGAACUCCUCACAACCCCGCCAUGACACCUCGCUCACCAUGCUGUAUGUGAUGGCUGAAACGCGAGAAGCCUUCACAGCCCUCACUCACAAAUCUGAACGAAACCCAAAACGUGAUCUGGAUUCUCCUGUUCUCGGGGGAUGUCUGAGAACCCCAAACCAACACACAUAAAAAACCUCUUGUGAAACCUAGCAAGUGGGAGUACCAGGCCUUCUCAUAGCUGUACAGCAGCAAGCACAUCAACCUUAACCGUAUCUGAGGAACAAGCGUUUCACACGCCUCAGCAGCGAUCUAGUUAAAAGAUACAGCACCAUUUUCUCAGAACCCCAUCUCGGUGUCAGCAGACACAGCCUCCUCGGAACGCUUCCUUCCUUCCUGGCGGUGCAGGUGCAAUACCGCGGCUCCGCAGCAGCACCGCGCCGUUCCCGCAGGCAGGCACACGGCAGGAAAAGGGCGGGCAAGGACGACCCUCGGACCCGGCUUUCCCUCAGGGCUCCCUUCGAGCUCCCACAGCUCCGCUCUCCAUGAGCGCAAAACGUUUCGCUACAAAAAGUACACCUGUGUCCUUCCACUCACUCAGCAGAAAGCGUAAGUGCGAUACGACGCAGCCGCUCCACAAAAAGCCACCCCAUACCCCAACCACCCACGCGCACACCCACAGCAAUCCCGCCCACGAUUCCCACAGCACGCACGCACGCGCCCCAGCCUUCCCCCGAGCUCACAGGCUCCUAGCGCACGCGCAGACGCACGGCCGCGUCCCAUUGGCCGGUUAGUCACGCACGCUGAGCGGCUGCUCUCUCGGGCCUACGGGUUGCGGCCGCCGCGCAUGCGCAAUCGGCGCCUGCCGGCCCGGCCGCGAGGAGCAGGCGCAAUGCCCCCUCCCGGCAAGCUGGCCGGCCGCCGCGCAUGCGCAGUCGAGACCCUUUCGGGAACGUUCCGUGCCGCCUGUCUCGCUCCAGCCUUCCUCUGCAAGGGAAAUCCUGUCAGGUGCGCACUUUCACCGCUGUCUCCUGCUCUGCCUGCUCCUGCUUUCAGCAUGGUAAAGAAGAACACUAUCCCCGAGGGGUAAGUAUCCCUCACACUAAGCGAGAGGCAGGAGCGGGCACAGCCCUGCUCAUGGAGAAGGGGCACUCACUGCCCCAGGUGCUUUCUUGCUGUACUGCCAGGUAAGGUAGGUAGGUAUCUUCUCCAAGACAGGAACAACACAGCCUUUCAUCCCCCAGGUGAGUAUGAUGCUCCAGCCUGUCUGUGAACAUUCUCCUUCAUCAGCCAAAUGCAGUCCCUUCUUCCUAACUUAGCUCCAGAUGCAUACUUACCUGCAGAAAUGGGAGAGUAGCCCAUCCUGACUGCUCA
rnacentral:lncRNA from 1 species